rnacentral:ncRNA from 1 species
GAAAAAGCAGGAAGCAAGAAGAGUACUUUAGCGUCGAACGGAUAGAGAGCAAGCGGUUGGUGGAAGCUUGACGGGAGUGCUAAAGGAAUGGGCCUUGCGCGUUAAGUCUUGAAAUCAGUAGGGACUUACGGUUAGCCGUCGUUAUUCGGCAGAGAUGCAGUGUCUUCAAAACGCUGAAACAUGAGGUGGUACCGCGAUUUUUUCGCCCUCUAA